rnacentral:rRNA from 1 species
UACGUAGGGUGCAAGCGUUAAUCGGAAUUACUGGGCGUAAAGCGUGCGCAGGCGGUGAUGUAAGACAGAUGUGAAAUCCCCGGGCUCAACCUGGGAACUGCAUUUGUGACUGCAUCGCUGGAGUGCGGCAGAGGGGGAUGGAAUUCCGCGUGUAGCAGUGAAAUGCGUAGAUAUGCGGAGGAACACCGAGUGGACGAGACACCUCCGUCGACUGUACUGACGCUCAUGCACGAAAGCGUGGGGAGCAAACAGGAUUAGAUACCCGAGUAGU